AGCGAACGCUGGCGGUAUGCUUAACACAUGCAAGUCGAGCGCGAAAGUGACUUCGGUCAUAAGUAGAGCGGCGGACGGGUGAGUAACACGUGGAUAAUCUGCCUUUAGGACUGGGAUAACCCUGGGAAACUAGGGCUAAUACCGGAUAAGACCACAGGUUCCAUGGAACCAGGGGUAAAAGGCGGCCUUCGGGCUGUCGCCGAAAGAUGAGUCCGCGUCCCAUCAGGUAGUUGGUGAGGAACGGCUCACCAAGCCGAAGACGGGUAGCCGACCUUAGCGGGUGAUCGGCCACACGGGGACUGAGACACGGCCCCGACUCCUACGGGAGGCAGCAGUGGGGAUCUUGGGCAAUGGGCGCAAGCCUGACCCAGC
rnacentral:rRNA from 1 species